CAGGCCUCCCUCUGCUUGGUUCCGGUCGUGGGCAUGAGUGAGGGGCGAUGCUUGAUGGCUUUGAUGCCAUCGGUGGGAAUGUGUUUAAGCAUCGGCCUUCCCUCAUGACCACGAUGGUCUACAGUCUUGUGUACGAGUUAGUGACGUCGCUUGUUUGUUUUGAUGCUUGCGUUGGAACUUGCUUAAGCAACCGACCUGACGAAGUACCCAUGAAUGUCUCCCAUGAUGGUCUACAGUCUUGCGUACGAGUUAGUGACGUCGCUUGUUUGUUUUGAUGCUUGCGUUCGAACUUGCUUAAGCAACCGACCUGACGAAGUACCCAUGAAUGUCACCAAUGAUGGUCUACAGUCUAGCGUACGAGUUAGUGACGUCGCUUGUUUGUUUUGAUGCUUGCGUUGGAACUUGCUUAAGCAACCGAACUGACGAAGUACCCAUGAAUGUCGCCCAUGAUGGUCUACAGUCUUGGGUAUGAGUCAGUGACGAUGCUUGUUUGUUUUGAUGCUUGCGUUUGAACUUGCUUAAGCAACCGACCUGACGAAGUACCCAUGAAUGUCGCUCAUGAUGGUCUACAGUCUUGGGUAUGAGUCAGUGACGAUGCUUGUUUGUUUUGAUGCUUGCGUUGGAACUUGCUUAAGCAACCGACCUGACGAAGUACCCAUGAAUGUCUCCCAUGAUGGUCUACAGUCUUGCGUACGAGUUAGUGACGUCGCUUGUUUGUUUUGAUGCUUGCGUUGGAACUUGCUUAAGCAACCGACCUGACGAAGUACCCAUGAAUGUGUCUGCGAUCCAGGGGUGAUGUUGAGAGCCGGAAGGCAAGGGGGUGCAAACACUAGUUGAACUUUGUCCCGAUUGCCGAGUGUUAUGUGCUUGAUGUCAAGGCUUGAUGCUGAUCCUCCAAGUGGGGCUUGUCCCUGCACCAAUGGCUUUUGCCAGGAUCAUGGCGUUUGUUAUGAUCGAAAAACUGAGGGGGUGAUGUUUAGAGCUGGAAGGCAAGGGGGUGCAAACACCAGUCGGCCUUUGUCCCGAUUGCUGAGUGUUAUGUGCUUGAUGUCCAAGGCUUGAAGCUGACCCUCCAAGUGGGGGCUUUUUUGUUCCUGCGGUAACGACUCUGUUGGGAUCAUUGUGAUCAAGUUUGGUUGGUUUCGUAUUGUGGUGGGUUUUUUCGAAGCUUCUAUCGUUCUUUUACGCAUCGUGCGGUGCAUCUUGGGGGCUGUUUUGGCUUUUGGUUGCUUGCUUGGGCUUUAUGCUAGGCGGGUGGCUAAU
rnacentral:misc_RNA from 1 species